rnacentral:rRNA from 1 species
UACGUAGGGUGCGAGCGUUGUCCGGAAUUAUUGGGCGUAAAGGGCUCGUAGGCGGUUUGUCGCGUCGGGAGUGAAAACACUGGGCUUAACUCAGUGCUUGCUUCCGAUACGGGCAGACUAGAGGUAUGCAGGGGAGAGCGGAAUUCCUGGUGUAGCGGUGAAAUGCGCAGAUAUCAGGAGGAACACCGGUGGCGAAGGCGGUUCUCUGGGCAUUGCCUGACGCUGAGGAGCGAAAGUGUGGGGAGCGAACAGG